UACGAAGGGGGCUAGCGUUGCUCGGAAUCACUGGGCGUAAAGGGUGCGUAGGCGGGUCUUUAAGUCAGGGGUGAAAUCCUGGAGCUCAACUCCAGAACUGCCUUUGAUACUGAGGAUCUUGAGUUCGGGAGAGGUGAGUGGAACUGCGAGUGUAGAGGUGAAAUGCGUAGAUAUCGCUUGGAACGCCAACGGUGAAAACAGGUUGCUGGGGGUGUGCUGACGCUGAGACACGAAAGCCAGGGGAGCGAACAGG
rnacentral:rRNA from 1 species